GCUGUGAUUGCCGAGAGGUUAAGGCGUUGGUUUCGAAAUCCAGCGGGGGUUCCCGGCGCAGGUUCGAAUCCUGCUCCCAGCG